GCCCUAGUAACGGCGAGUGAAGCGGCAACAGCUCAAAUUUGAAAUCUGGCGUCUUUGGCGUCCGAGUUGUAAUUUGCAGAGGGCGCUUUGGCAUUGGCAGCGGUCCAAGUUCCUUGGAACAGGACGUCACAGAGGGUGAGAAUCCCGUACGUGGUCGCUAGCCUUUACCGUGUAAAGCCCCUUCGACGAGUCGAGUUGUUUGGGAAUGCAGCUCUAAAUGGGAGGUAAAUUUCUUCUAAAGCUAAAUACUGGCCAGAGACCGAUAGCGCACAAGUAGAGUGAUCGAAAGAUGAAAAGCACUUUGGAAAGAGAGUUAAAAAGCACGUGAAAUUGUUGAAAGGGAAGCGCUUGCAGCCAGACUUGCCUGUAGUUGCUCAUCCGGGUUUUUACCCGGUGCACUCUUCUACGGGCAGGCCAGCAUCAGUUUGGGCGGUUGGAUAAAGGUCUCUGUCACGUACCUCCUCUCGGGGAGAUCUUAUAGGGGAGACGACAUGCAACCAGCCUGGACUGAGGUCCGCGCAUCUGCUAGGAUGCUGGCGUAAUGGCUGUAAGCGGCCCGUCUUGAAACACGGACCAAGGAGUCUAACAUCUAUGCGAGUGUUUGGGUGUCAAGCCCGAGCGCGUAAUGAAAGUGAACGGAGGUGGGAACCUUUCGGGGUGCACCAUCGACCGAUCCUGAUGUCUUCGGAUGGAUUUGAGUAAGAGCAUAGCUGUUGGGACCCGAAAGAUGGUGAACUAUGCUUGAAUAGGGUGAAGCCAGAGGAAACUCUGGUGGAGGCUCGCAGCGGUUCUGACGUGCAAAUCGAUCGUCAAAUUUGGGCAUAGGGGCGAAAGACUAAUCGAACUAUCUAGUAGCUGGUUCCUGCCGAAGUUUCCCUCAGGAUAGCAGUAACGUUUUCAGUUUUAUGAGGUAAAGCGAAUGAUUAGAGGCCUGGGGGUUGAAACAACCUU
rnacentral:rRNA from 2 species